GGGGGCAAGCGUUGUUCGGAAUUACUGGGCGUAAAGGGCUUGUAGGUGGCCAACUAAGUCAGACGUGAAAUCCCUCGGCUUAACCGGGGAACUGCGUCUGAUACUGGAUGGCUUGAGUGUGGGAGAGGGAUGCGGAAUUCCAGGUGUAGCGGUGAAAUGCGUAGAUAUCUGGAGGAACACCGGUGGCGAAGGCGGCAUCCUGGACCAUUACUGACACUGAAAAGCGAAAGCCAGGGGAGCAAACGGG
rnacentral:rRNA from 1 species